CUGCACAAUGCCUUCCGGGCUUCUCUUAUAGGAUUGGUGAUGAUGAAAGCCCCAAUACUUGUGCUAAAGUAGUGCCAUUUAGUGUUGUAGUUCAUCUUGGGUACUUUUUCACAGCUGAUCUGUGUCAUAUAUACAUGU